rnacentral:tRNA from 1 species
AGGAAGUUAGUUUACCAUAAAAUGUGGGGUUGUCAACUCCAAGAGGCUUGACUUUGCACUUCCUU